AGAGUGAACGCUGGCGGCAGGCCUAAUACAUGCAAGUCGAACGGCAGCACAGCAGAGCUUGCUCUGUGGGUGGCGAGUGGCGGACGGGUGAGGAAUACAUGGGAAUCUGCCCAGUCGUGGGGGAUAACGUAUGGAAACGUACGCUAAUACCGCAUGCGCCCUUCGGGGGAAAGCCGGGGACCUUCGGGCCUGGCGCGAUUGGAUGAGCCCAUGUCGGAUUAGCUAGUUGGCGGGGUAAAGCCCACCAAGGCGACGAUCCGUAGCUGGUCUGAGAGGAUGAUCAGCCACACGUGGAACUGAGACACGGUCAGACUCCUACGGGAGCAGCAGUAGGGAAUAGUGGAACAAGUGGGACGACAAGCCUAGAUCCAGCCCUAGUGGCCGCGUAGUGUAGAAGGAACGGUCCGUU
rnacentral:rRNA from 1 species